rnacentral:rRNA from 1 species
GUCUAUGGUCAUACCACCCUGAUCUUGUAAGAUAAGCAGUGUUGGGUCUGUUUGGUAUUUGGAUGGGAAAAAGCUAAUAAUUAUAAUCA